AAGAGAAAAACUUAAGUGAUGCAAAUGUUGAAAAUUGCUAUGACAUUGUUCACCACUUCUAAUUGCAAGUCAAGUUUUCAAGAUGAACCGGACUGGACCGAAUCCUAUCAAUGCACAACAACGUAUUUUUUAUUAUGUGAAGCGCCAUGAAUACAUACCUGCAAGGGUGGAGAAGUGAUAUCGCCAAGAAGAAAUUACUGUAUCAAGGCGUAAAAUAUCUACGAAGUAAGAAGGCUAAGAAUGAAGAAAGAAAAGAAAGCAAAACGUAAACGCAAGACGCAAAAUAGUAGUUCGCGACACGACAAGUUCAUCAGUAUCAUUGAAUUAUCGACAUUGGACUUGAAAUCUCAGUUGCAGUUCCGGUAUUGGAUUGACGACAGCAGUCAACUAUCGAUGAACACUGAUUUGAAGAUGCUUGACGUUCUACAGAGGAAGCAAGAAAAUAAUAAUUAGAGAUAUUUACAGAUUAAAACAUAGUAGUUAUGCACUUUUAUUCAAAUUAAUAUUGUUUACUGAUCAGUAAUAAUAACAUAACCCAAGACUUGUAGCAGCUUAUGCUGAACCUCAUCAUGGCUCUUUUGUUUUUUUUUUCUUUAUUUUUAAUUUUCUAAUAUUAAUUUAGUGAACAUAAAAUGCCAGCUACUCGGAUAUUUAGGUGACUUAGGACUGAUUUUUUAAUCGUUGAAUAUCUGCUAAAGAAUAAACAUUUUGACAUAUCUCAUACUAUUCUUCAGUUAAAAGUUAUACGACGAUUGAGAAAUCAGCCCAUAAGUUUUUUUUAAAACUGAGGUGGAAUUGUGUAAAGCAAUCGUUAUCAUUUGACAGUUACGUACGUAACAUAACGUACGAUUAUUCUGU